rnacentral:rRNA from 1 species
GAUGAACGCUGGCGGCGUGCCUAAUACAUGCAAGUCGAGCGAACGGACGAGAAGCUUGCUUCUCUGAUGUUAGCGGCGGACGGGUGAGUAACACGUGGAUAACCUACCUAUAAGACUGGGAUAACUUCGGGAAACCGAAGCUAAUACCGGAUAAUAUUUUGAACCGCAUGGUUCAAAAGUGAAAGCCGGUCUUGCUGUCACUUAUAGAUGGAUCCGCGCUGCAUUAGCUAGUUGGUAAGGUAACGGCUUACCAAGGCAACGAUGCAUAGCCGACCUGAGAGGGUGAUCGGACACACUGGAACUGAGACACGGUCCAGACUCCUACGGGAGGCAGCAGUAGGGAAUCUUCCGCAAUGGGCGAAAGCCUGACGGAGCAACGCCGCGUGAGUGAUGAAGGUCUUCGGAUCGUAAAACUCUGUUAUUAGGGAAGAACAUAUGUGUAAGUAACUGUGCACAUCUUGACGGUACCUAAUCAGAAAGCCACGGCUAACUACGUG